UACGCGAAGAACCUUACCAUCCCUUGACAUGUCGUGCCAGCUGGAGAGAUCCAGGGUUCCCUUCGGGGACGCGAACACAGGUGCUGCAUGGCUGUCGUCAGCUCGUGUCGUGAGAUGUUGGGUUAAGUCCCGCAACGAGCGCAACCCACGUCCUUAGUUGCCAUCAUUCAGUUGGGCACUCUAGGGAGACUGCCGGUGAUAAGCCGCGAGGAAGGUGUGGAUGACGUCAAGUCCUCAUGGCCCUUACGGGAUGGGCUACACACGUGCUACAAGGGCGGUGACAGUGGGACGCGAAACCGCGAGGUUGAGCAAAUCCCCAAAAACCGUCUCAGUUCAGAUUGCACUCUGCAACUCGAGUGCAUGAAGGCGGAAUCGCUAGUAAUCGUGGAUCAGCAUGCCACGGUGAAUACGUUCCCGGGCCUUGUACACACC
rnacentral:rRNA from 1 species